AAAAUUGCGCCGAUGCCCGGCGCGAGGGCCCACGUGAUGCUAUUAGGUCAAUAGCGACGCGGCGUCGGCCUCAGAAAGGGCGCGCGAAGAGGAGGCGGCAUUCUUCAUUGCGUAUUG
rnacentral:lncRNA from 1 species